GGACUACCGGGGUUUCUAAUCCCGUUCGCUCCCCUGGCUUUCGCGCCUCAGCGUCAGUAAGGACCCAGCGGACCGCUUUCGCCACCGGCGUUCCUUCCGAUAUCAACGCAUUUCACCGCUCCACCGGAAGUUCCGUCCGCCCCUAUCCCCCUCCAGCUGCCCAGUAUCCCAGGCCCUUUUCCGGUUGGGCCGAAAGAUUUCACCCGGGACUAUGGCAGCCGCCUACGCGCCCUUUAAGCCCAGUGAUUCCGAACAACGUUCGCACGGUUCGUCUUACCGCGGCUGCUGGCAC
rnacentral:rRNA from 1 species